rnacentral:lncRNA from 1 species
UUGAGGGUGCUCUUAACCUUGCCAUUGAGGGGCUAAGGUGAAGCAGAUGAAUGGAUAUGAGGGGUGUGCCUCAUUGCUCUUAUCCCUGAUCAGGGAGAGCAUUUGAAUAUCAGAAGGUGUGGGAGUUCAGAAAGUAGGAACUCUCUCCACAAAUUAGACUCUAUAGAUCUUGGGCUUGGAUCUCAAUGCUACAACCAUGUAAUGGGAGCAAGGAGAAGACUCACAGAAUAGUA